AUUGAACGCUGGCGGCAGGCCUAACACAUGCAAGUCGAGCGGGGUUUUCGGACCUAGCGGCGGACGGGUGAGUAAUGCGUAGGAAGCUGCCCGAUAGAGGGGGGAUACCAGUUGGAAACGACUGUUAAUACCGCAUAAUGUCUACGGACCAAAGUGUGGGACCUUCGGGCCACAUGCUAUCGGAUGCGCCUACGUGGGAU
rnacentral:rRNA from 1 species